CCAGGCCCUUCCCCGUCCGUCCACAGGUCUCAUGGGCGCCCGGACUGGGGCUGAUGUAGUUUCCCGACCUCUGACACAUAGGAUCUGGAGAUUAAAGCUGCUCUGCUAAUAAUUAGGUUCCCACCUCUCAAGAUCAUUAGGAGCUUCUUUUCCAAUUCCUCUGUUUUGCAUGCAUUGGAAGUGUCACUGGCGUGGGGGUUACCUUCCCACUGUGUCCCCCAGAAGACAUGAGGCCACAGACUGCAGUGCCCGUGGACAGAGGAGCUGUGGGGAUGGAAGUGUGAUUGCUUCAUUCAAAUGCACGCCCCGGUGCGUGUGCGUCUCUUCUGAUGCAGCGCCCCAUGGAUACCCCAUCAGCCUGAGUCUCUUAAAGGCCUUUAUACACAUAUGUCUACACAUAGGGAUUUGGAUUAUCUCGGGAUCCCACAUCCUCGCUGUCCCCUGUCCCCCCGCAACAUCCCCCACCAAUACCUUUCUGAAGUUUUCUAGUCCCUCCUUUUUGUUUGUGCUCCUUAAAGCCCAGCCCCAUGCCUGACUUUGGUUCCCAGUGAGCAUUGUACAUUUG
rnacentral:lncRNA from 1 species